rnacentral:rRNA from 1 species
AGCGUUAUUCAUUUAAAGUAUCUCCUGCUCAGUGCCUAUAAACAGCCGCAGAAUUUUAUACUGUGCUAAGGUAGCAUAAUCACUUGUCUUUUAAUUAAAGAAUAGAAUGAACGGAAACACGAAUUUUAAACUAUUUCAUUUCUUCUUAAUAAACUUACAUCAAAAGUAAAAACUCUUUUAUCAAUUAAAAAGACGACAAGACCCUACAGAACUUCACUACAGUUUGGCUGGGGUGGCUUUUUAAAAAAAUCUUACAUCAAAAAUACCAAACCCUUCAUUUAUUUUAAGUUACCUUAGGGAUAACAGCACAAUUUUAUUCAACAGCUCUUAUUCAAAAUAAAGAUUGUGACCUCGAUGUUGAAUUAAGUUUCUAUUAGAAGUAAAAAACUAAAAAGAAAGUCUGUUCGACUUUUAAACACUUACAUGAUUUGAGUUCAGACCGGUGUAAGCCAGGUCGGUUUCUAUCUUUUUUAAAAAUGCCCUAGUACGAAAGGACCAUGCAUUUUAUUA